rnacentral:lncRNA from 1 species
AAAUGUCCUUUCUUUCCCUUGAUGAUUUCAUUGUGCUUACACUUCUUGCCCAGCACCUUUGAUUUAAUUAACUGUCUUUAACUAGACAAGUGCUUUAUGUGUUUACUUGUACCGCUUCCCAAAGAUACCAUUGCCACUUAGUCAACCAAAAAAAAAAAAUCUUACGAAGCUAAGCUUUAAUUCUGGUUAUGAUAAGCAUGAAAUUGAAUGCAAUGGUUUUGGGCAUAUGAACGUACAUUGUUGAACAUAGUCCAGAAGAUCACAUCAUAUUAAAAUCUCCAUCAGAAGAAAUGCUUGUUGCAUCCCUGUCCUCUCAGCCUGCUGUGGGAUGCAAACUGGGGAACGUGUGGGACAUGUGCUUCUGAGCAGGCGCUGCCCAGCGGUGUGACGGGAAAUGGGGAGUUCAGCAAAAUAAGGAGGUCACCCACCUUGAAAUAAUGAUGUCUGGAAGCAAGUAUGUGGGUGCAGUAUCAACAGCACUCCUCAAGUCACAUCUGUGUGUGCUCUUUUGGGAGUGACGAUCUGGUACACAGGCAAAUUCCUCAGAAAGAGAAUGAGUCAAAGGAUGGCUUUGUCCGGGAUGACAAAGCAGCCCGGACAGACCAUCAGUAAUGCAACCACAUCAGAGACCCUGUGGCCACUCCACAGCCACUUGGGUAACUGGCCAAGGAGCCAGAUAUUCCCCAGUCUGGCACCUGUGCCUAGUCUGAUGUGGCAGGGUAAAUGGUGUGUCCCACAUGGCUCUACCAUUUCCCUUCUUGAGUAUUUACACAUAUGCACACACAAAGGCAACCUCUCUCAUCUCAGGAAAGAAGUACAGGCCUGCUCUGGCCCUGGAAAAGUGGAAUGGCUCUUCUUCACUGUCUGACCUCACAUCACUCAAGGCAGGACAAAACCCAGACGAAAAUAUCGUCUUGUUCGUACAUAAUAAAAAAGUCAUUUUCACCCUAAACCA